rnacentral:rRNA from 1 species
UACGAGGGGGGCGAGCGUUGUUCGGAAUUACUGGGCGUAAAGGGCGCGUAGGCGGCCUUCUAAGUCGAACGUGAAAUCCCCGGGCUCAACCCGGGAACUGCGUCCGAUACUGGAAGGCUUGAAUCCGGGAGAGGGAUGCGGAAUUCCAGGUGUAGCGGUGAAAUGCGUAGAUAUCUGGAGGAACACCGGUGGCGAAGGCGGCAUCCUGGACCGGUAUUGACGCUGAGGCGCGAAAGCCAGGGGAGCAAAGCGGG